rnacentral:tRNA from 1 species
GGGAUUGUGGCUCAGCGGUAGAGCGCUGGCCUAGCAAGGCAGAACCCGGGUUCGAUCCUCAGUACCA